UUUCCGUAGGUGAACCUGCGGAAGGAUCAUUAUUGAAAUAUUGGACCUCACGGUUCUCUAAUCAAAAUCCAUAAACACCUGUGCACCUUUUGUUUUGCUCUCCGAGUAAGACGAAACACUACAAACUUGAUGUAUUGAAUGUAAACAAAUUGUAAUCAAAUACAACUUUCAACAACGGAUCUCUUGGCUCUCGCAUCGAUGAAGAACGCAGC
rnacentral:misc_RNA from 1 species